rnacentral:rRNA from 1 species
GUGGGGAAUAUUGGACAAUGGGCGCAAGCCUGAUCCAGCCAUGCCGCGUGAGUGAUGAAGGCCUUAGGGUUGUAAAGCUCUUUCAGUGGGGACGAUAAUGACGGUACCCACAGAAGAAGCCCCGGCUAACUUCGUGCCAGCAGCCGCGGUAAUACGAAGGGGGCUAGCGUGGUUCGGAUUUACUGGGCGUAAAGCGCACGUAGGCGGAUCGUUAAGUCGGGGGUGAAAUCCUGGAGCUCAACUCCAGAACUGCCUUCGAUACUGGCGAUCUUGAGUCCGGAAGAGGUGAGUGGAACUCCUAGUGUAGAGGUGGAAUUCGUAGAUAUUAGGAAGAACACCAGUGGCGAAGGCGGUUCACUGGUCCGGUACUGACGCUGAGGUGCGAAAGCGUGGGGAGCAAACAGGAUUAGAAACCCUGGUAGUCC